ensembl:lncRNA
GAGAGACUGGAGGCAUCAGAGACUCUCUUUCUCCAGUACGAGCUUUGAAGAAGCGAACUUCUAUAUUCUACAGCUGCAAGGAAAUGAAUUUUGCCAGCACCCUGAGGGAGCUUAGAAACAGAUCCUUCCUGCGUCAAGCCUUUAGGUGAGAAUAUAGCAUGGGAAACACUGAGUUUGGCCUUGUGAGACCCUGAGAAGAGCACCCAGCUAGGCUAUGCCUGGACUUCGGAGCUGCAGAAACUGAGGUGUUCGCAUUUCACCAACCAUGCGGGGGCCAGCCAGUUGAGGGGUCAAAUGAAGAGACAUUUUUCAAGGACCCCUUCACCCAAUUUCCCCAGCUUCCUCCUGAGUUAAGGCUUCUAUUGUAGGAAUGUUCUCUCUGUGAAUGUCUCCGUUUGGUGGAUGAGUCACUGGCAAAGAAGGUAGGUGGUCUGAGUUAGUAACUGGCCAUUUUGGUAGUCUGUUCUGGUUCCUUGAGCAGGUUUCUGAUUUUUCUGUCUCUGAAAUAGAAGAGCUGAUUCUUUUCACCCACCUACAUCAUUGCAAAGUUCUCUUCGUCCUAACGCUUAACAGCCCUGUCCUUGCACCUCUUUGCUUCUUGAUCCACACUCACUCUCUUGGUGACCUCAUCCAGUCUCAUGGCCUUAAAUACUUAUAUGCUGAUGACUCCUGAAUGUGCUUGCAAUCUGGUCAGUCAUCUCUUCUGAACCUCAGACUUACUCAUCAUCUCUGUCUCAGUAUACAAUGAGCAUCUCAAACUUAAAAUGACAAAAACAAAGUUGGCCUCCUAAUUGUCCUCCUGUAAGUCAAUGGCAACUCCAUUCUUCCCCUUGCUCAGUCUCCAAACCAUGGUAUCGUCUUUGACUUCUUUCCUUCACAACCCACAUCCAGUCCAUCAGCAAAUCCUAUCAGCUUACUUCAAAAUGUAAAAUAAUUCAACCAUUUCUCAGAGGCGCCACCAGCACCGCCAUCAUCUCCCACCUGGAUAACUGCAACAACUAGUUUCUCUCUGUCUGCUUUCGCCCUCCCUCUACGCACCUCCAGCAGCCUCAGCGAUUCUAUAAAGAGCAAGUCAAAUUACGCUUAAUUCUCUGACCCGAACUUGCCAAUGGCUCCUCUUUUUACUCAGAGUAAAAGCCAAAGUCCUUAAUAUAGUUUAAAAGGCCCCACAAAAUCUGUUCAUUAUAACAAAAAUGUUCUAAUAGAGGUAGUGGUGAUGAUUGCACAACUCUGUGAAUAUAUGGAAAACUGUUUAAUGGUACAUGUAGGGUGAAUUGUACGGAAUGUGAAUUAUAUCUCAAUAAAGCUGUUAUUUAAAAAGAAUAUCAGAUCCCCACCCCAAUCUCAUCUUUUACUACUCUCUCCCACGCUCGUUCCUCUCUAGCCAUUUUGGCCUUCCUUUUGCCUCAAGACCUUGGUACAGACUGCAUGCCCCGAAUAUUCUUUCUGCUGAUAACCACAUUGCUCACUCCCUUCAAGUCCCUUCUCGAUGAGGCCAGUGAGUUGCAAUACCUCUCCUCCUGGCAUUACUGAUGCCCCAAAACUUGUUCUCUCUGUUUCAAAAAAUAAUAUCACUAAUCACUUUCUAAAUAAUAACAUCUUUUAUUUAUUUAUAUUGUCUAUUAUCUGGCUCCCACUCUCCUGCCCACUCUACUCCCCAAGUAUAAGUUCAAUGGAGUAAGAUUUGUUUUGUUCACAGGUGGAUCCCUAAGUGGUUAGUUCCUUGCCCAGAGUGGACCCUCAGUAAAUAUUUAUUAAAUCAGAUCUUAUUGAAUGAAUAAGUUGUACAGAUUUAAAGAUGUAAUUCAUGAACUAGAACAUGAAGCUGUAAAUCUUGUGGUCUCUCCUUAUAGAUUAACAAGGAAGAUGUUUGAUUGAAUCCUACUUUUGCUGGUUGUAUUUUUUUAGUUACAGAGGGUUGUGCACCCUUACCUGAGUUUUAUCUUCUUCUUCAUACUCCCUCCACCUCUGCCCCAAGAAACUUUUAAAUGUUUUUUUCAGGAGCUAUAUACUGGCUGAUUUUGUAAACUAAGGAUUUGUGACCUCGACCAGUCUGUAUUGUAUACACUUAUAAACCCCAAUAGAUUAAAAGAUUGCCUAGUUACCAAAUGCUAUGGAGGAUGAUUUGGCACGGUCUUCAUAAACAGGUCGCACCUGGGAGCUAGUGGGAACGCUCCCAUCUGAGAAGACACAGCUACAACAGAUGGUAAAACGACAGAAAACCAGGUGAAAUGGUGCCCCCCUCACAACUUCUCACUCAUCUCACGUGUACCGAAUACCCUCUGUGAGUCAGAUACUCUGCUGGUCAUCCAGGACAUCAAGAUGUGAGGACAUGGCUCCUGUGCUCAUGGAACUCGUAACUACUCAUUCUAGUUUGCGUGAAAGGACAGACAAGAUUGAUCUUCCAUCAGUGGAAUAGUCCAAGUUUAAUUGGUGAACCAUACCCCAGUAAUCCCGCUCCCCACCCUCCAUAGAGACCCUUCCACGAUAGGGUGACAAUUUAUAAAUUACCCGAGUUCAUCACGCUAGAAUAAGAGAUGCCUGAUGGUCUAUGGAUGCAUUCGAGGUAGUUCCUGCUCAAGGAGCUCCCCAAAGUCCUGGCACGCUAGAUAUUGCAGGGGUCCCAGAAACCAAGAGAGACCACCUGCAUAACUAUUGGAAGUUUCUGCUGUUUCUACUGUGUUAUCUAAAGCCUUGAAAAAACAUACCCUACAGUCAAAUCCUGGUUUCUUCAGCUGCCGUCUUUAUCACGUUGCUACGUUAUAUAUCCCUUCCUGAACCUCAACAUCCUUAUCUGUAAAAUGAAGAUAAUAGUGUCUUUUAUUGGUUUGUUUAUGUAUCCAUUCAUCCAGAAAACAUUUUUUUAAAUCCCUACCUCAUCCCAGGUAUUGAGCUAG